UACGUAGGGGGCGAGCGUUGUCCGGAAUCAUUGGGCGUAAAGAGCUCGUAGGCGGUUCAGCAAGUCGGCUGUGAAAUUCCGAGGCUCAACCUCGGAACUGCAGUCGAUACUGCUGUGACUCGAGUCCGGUAAAGGAGAAUGGAAUUCCCGGUGUAGCGGUGAAAUGCGCAGAUAUCGGGAGGAACACCAGUAGCGAAGGCGGUUCUCUGGGCCGGUACUGACGCUGAGGAGCGAAAGCGUGGGGAGCAAACAGG
rnacentral:rRNA from 1 species